CUGCUGCCAACUCAUGACGGAAGUAGGUUUGUGGGAAGGGAGGAGGGACGAGGGCACUGAAGGGAGUGGACGCAACCCAGCAGCAUUUUUCCUGGCCCGGCCUGGGAAGCUCGCUUUUCCUCUUGGGAAGCUCCUCUGGAGCCCAAUACAGCCAGGGGGCCGUGAGGGCCUCCUCGGGGCCAGACAGGAUGAAGACUCUCGAGGGUGUGCAGAAAUCUGCCCUCGCUGACACUUUCAGCAAGAAGAAGGGUGCGGCCCGUCUGGUCACCUUGUCAUUUGUAAAAAUCUUCAACUCCAAUCAAAGAGACAAUUCAAAGCUUUGGUUAAGGCUGAUCACAGAGAGAGAGAGAGGCAGAGACAUAGGCAGAGGGAGAAGCAGGCUCCAUGCACCGGGAGCCCGACGUGGGACUCGAUCCCGGGUCUCCAGGAUCGCGCCCUGAGCCAAAGGCAGACACCAAACCGCUGUGCCACCCAGGGAUCCCAAGAGAGGCAUUUCUAAUAAAAUUUUACCUUUUGGGGUCAUAGUAUCUUACCCAAAUGUGUCAAUAAACAGAUGAUACAUUUAUGUUA